rnacentral:rRNA from 1 species
UACGGAGGGUGCGAGCGUUGUCCGGAAUCAUUGGGCGUAAAGGGCGCGUAGGCGGCCCGGUCAGUCUUUGGUGAAAGCGCGGGGCUCAACCCUGCGUCGGCCAGGGAUACUGCCGCGGCUCGAGCACUGUAGAGGCAGGCGGAAUUCCGGGUGUAGCGGUGGAAUGCGUAGAGAUCCGGAAGAACACCAGUGGCGAAGGCGGCUCACUGGUCCGGUACUGACGCUGAGGUGCGAAAGCGUGGGGAGCAAACAGG